rnacentral:rRNA from 1 species
CCUACGGGGGGCAGCAGUGGGGGAUAUUGCACAAUGGGGGAAACCCUGAUGCAGCGACGCCGCGUGGGUGAAGGAGUGCUUCGGCAUGUAAAGCUCUAUCAGCAGGGAAGAAAAACCGGCCUUAGGGCCGCCAGACGGUACCUGACUAAGAAGCCCCGGCUAACUACGUGCCAGCAGCCGCGGUAAUACGUAGGGGGCAAGCGUUAUCCGGAUUUACUGGGUGUAAAGGGAGCGUAGACGGCAGCGCAAGUCUGGAGUGAAAUGCCGGGGCCCAACCCCGGAACUGCUUUGGAAACUGUGCAGCUGGAGUGCAGGAGAGGUAAGCGGAAUUCCUAGUGUAGCGGUGAAAUGCGUAGAUAUUAGGAGGAACACCAGUGGCGAAGGCGGCUUACUGGACUGUAACUGACGUUGAGGCUCGAAAGCGUGGGGAGCAAACAGGAUUAGAUACCCGGGUAGUC